rnacentral:lncRNA from 1 species
GAGGUUUGGGGGCGCCUGUGGGGUCUGUGGGGUCUGUAGGGUUUGUGGGGUCUGUGGGGUUCUGGAGUUUCUGGGGUUUCUGGGAUAUGUGGGGUUUCUGGGGCCUGUGGGGUCUGUAGGGUUUGUGAGGUUUGUGGGGUCUGUGGGGGGAUGAUGGUGUGGGGGUGGGGUCACACUUAUGGGGCCACACUUAUGGGGUCACACUUGUGGAUCACACUUAUGGGGUGGCUGUUAUAGGGUCACACUUAUGGGUCACACUUAUGGGUCACACUUAUGGGUUACACUUAUGGGGUCACACUUAUGGGGCCACACUUAUGGGGUCAGAUUUAUGGGGUCACACUUCUGGGUCACACUUCUGGGGUCACACUUAUGGGGUCACACUUAUGGGGUGGCUGUUAUGGGGUCACACUUAUGGGUCACACUUAUGGGUCACACUUAUGGGUUACACUUAUGGGGUCACACUUCUAUGUCACACUUAUGGGAUCAUACUUAUGGGGCCACACUUAUGGGGUCACACUUAUGGGGUCACACUUAUGGGUCACACUUAUGGGUGGCUGUUAUAGGGUCACACUUCUGGGUCAUACUUCUGGGGUCACACUUAUGGGGUGGCUGUUAUGGGGUCACACUUAUGGGCCACACUUAUGGGUCACACUUAUGGGGUCACACUUGUGGGCCACACUUAUGGGGUCACACUUAUGGGGUGGCUGUUAUAGGGUCACACUUCUGGGUCACACUUAUGGGGUCACACUUAUGGGUUACACUUAUGGGGUCACACUUAUGGGGCCACACUUAUGGGGUCACACUUCUGGGUCACACUUAUGGGUCACACUUAUGGGUCACACUUAUGGGAUCUCACUUAUGGGGUCACACUUAUGGGGCCACACUUAUGGGGUCACACUUAUGGGGUGGCAUUUAUGGGGUCACACUUAUGGGUCACACUUAUGGGUCACACUUGUGGGUCACACUUGUGGGUCACACUUGUGGGACCGCCCUCCUUUUUAUUCCACCGGCCCCAUAAAAACUCCUCCAAAAUAAAUAACAGCAGCCCCCCCUUCCCUCCUCCGCU